rnacentral:rRNA from 1 species
ACGAACGCUGGCGGCGCGCCUAACACAUGCAAGUCGCACGAGCGAGAGAGAGCUUGCUUUCUCGAGCGAGUGGCGAACGGGUGAGUAACGCGUGAGGAACCUGCCUCAAAGAGGGGGACAACAGUUGGAAACGACUGCUAAUACCGCAUAAGCCCACGGCUCGGCAUCGAGCAGGGGGAAAAGGAGCAAUCCGCUUUGAGAUGGCCUCGCGUCCGAUUAGCUAGUUGGUGGGGUAACGGCCCACCAAGGCGACGAUCGGUAGCCGGACUGAGAGGUUGAACGGCCACAUUGGGACUGAGACACGGCCCAGACUCCUACGGGAGGCAGCAGUGGGGAAUAUUGCACAAUGGGGGAAACCCUGAUGCAGCGACGCCGCGUGGAGGAAGAAGGUCUUCGGAUUGUAAACUCCUGUUGUUGGGGAAGAUAAUGACGGUACCCAACAAGGAAGUGACGGCUAACUACGUG